GAUGAACGCUGACAGAAUGCUUAACACAUGCAAGUCAUUGGCGAAGCUGCGCUUGCGCAGUCUAGCCAAGGCGGACGGGUGAGUAACGCGUAAGGAACUUGCCCUGCAGACAGGGAUAACAGACGGAAACGACUGAUAACACCUGGUAUUGUCAGGCUGGCGCAUGCCGGCCUGAUGAAAGGAGACGCUGCAGGAGAGCCUUGCGUCCUAUUAGCUAGUUGGUGGGGUAACGGCCCACCAAGGCGAUGAUAGGUAGCCGGCCUGAGAGGGUGAACGGCCACAAGGGGACUGAGAUGCGGCCCUUACUCCUACGGGAGGCAGCAGUGAGGAAUAUUGGACAAUGGGGGCAACCCUGAUCCAGCAAUUCUGUGUGCACGAAGAAGGUUUUCGGAUUGUAAAGUGCUUUCAGCAGGGAAGAAGAAAGUGACGGUACCUGCAGAAGAAGCGACGGCUAAAUACGUG
rnacentral:rRNA from 1 species